UACAGAGGGUGCGAGCGUUAAUCGGAAUUACUGGGCGUAAAGCGUGCGUAGACGGUUAUUUAAGUCGGGUGUGAAAGCCCCGGGCUCAACCUGGGAAUUGCAUUCGAGACUGAAUAGCUAGGGUACGGUAGAGGGAAGCGGAAUUUCCGGUGUAGCGGUGAAAUGCGUAGAUAUCGGAAGGAACAUCAGUGGCGAAAGCGGCUUCCU
rnacentral:rRNA from 1 species